ensembl:snoRNA Gm26344 predicted gene, 26344
CCUGUCCCAAGGGCCAUUGCAGGUGUGGCUGCUGAGUCACAUGCACAUCAGUAGGUGGCAGAGAGGAGAGAGGCUAUAUCUACUCUCAGUGUUCAAACCUAUGAACAUCUGAAUAAUUAGUAGCUUAACAUA